UCUGAAUCUGCGAACGGCUCCGCAUACCAGUUGUAAACCAUAGCGAGCAAACCGUGGCGGCAUCGCAAGGCGUCGUCGCGGUUAAUAAGGAUAACCCUGGUAAUUCUGAGGCUAAUACAAGAACGUACAACCCACCCGACCCGCGAGGGAAGGGGGGGGAAUGUGUGACCAGGCACGCAAAUUCGAAACUGGGAGUGGCCACACGUUCAGACCGUCAUACCAAACAGUCGCUCGCUUUGAAAGUCCUCGUGACGAGUAAACGGCGGGCUUCUGGGCGGCUCUCGCUGUGUGCUUCUGACCUAUCAACUAGAUGGCAGCGUAACGGACAUGCUAUGGU
rnacentral:rRNA from 1 species